ACACACAGAUCCUGACUCCAGGAAUGAACUGGAGAGAAAAUGAAGCUGUAUUUUUUGCACGAGAGUACAGACAGAUUAACAGAGCUCUUCCUUUGCCAUGCAUUGGUAGCUCAGGUGCAGAAGCUCCAAAACCAUGCAACAGGGCACGAGGUGCAAAUGCAGCUCCAGUAAAAUGCGCGUCAGCAAUACAGGAGUGAGGUCCCCACCGUCAUCCAACGUCAAGUCUGUGAAUGUUAUUGGUCUUUGGAUGCCAUCAUGGCACUCUUGGAGGAAUUUCUGGACUCAUUCCUGUGACAACUUCAGAGAAGAAAUCUGGGCUCUGCAAGGACCUGAGUUACAUCCUCUGACGGCAACAUCACAGGAAUCAAAUUCAAUCAAGGGAACCCAAAUAACCUAUUUUUAUUCUUGCAACUUCUGGUAAAUUUUAUUUCUGUGACUUGAGGUGAUUAUUUUUCCCUUUUGAUACCAUUUUCAGUGCAUGCCCUUCAUUUCCCCUGUGGAGCCAGCCCAAAUGUCACAGAGACUAUUAAUGGUGUAUACUUAACACACAUACUCACAGUAUGUUCAUUCUCAGGAAGACUAAACAUUAUUGAAAGGUUACAGCAUUUAUUUUGAUGUGUGUCUGUUUAACCAAUUCUAGCAAAUGUUACACAAACACAAAAUGGGCUUUCCUUCCCUGUUCCUCACCAGCCAUCCCAAGCCAUUGAUUUUUAAACAGAAAUCCUUUCUCAAAUCAAUGAGGAAUUUAAAACCUGAUGUCACAUGGCGCAUGGAGACGGUUCAAAUGUACAACAAACAAAUAUGUAAAGAAGAAAGAAAUAUUUCAUCCUUUCUCCCUGUAGCCCUACUGAAGCCCGUUAACAGCUUCAAGCUCACCAGUUUCUACCAGCUUCUGGCUGAUUUCAGGGGCCACGUCUCCAGCAGCAAUAUUAGGAAGAACCAGAAGUUUGGUUUCUCACUGUUUUGAUUCUCAUUUAAUGGACGACAUUUGGAUGGACUUCCUGUGAUUCCUAACGAUUUCAUUGGGACUGAGCAUAACAGUCAAUAAAUGGAGCCCUUCUUGUGGCUGUUCUGAGCAUGGAGAAAACAACAAAUUUGUAAAACAUGAGUUAGAAUUUAAAUUUGCACAAUAUCCCAGCUGCAGUUUGAAGUGGACCUAACACUAUGCAUUCAUCCUCAUCAGCCAUCACUCAACGGCAAAAGUGGGAUUAAUCAUCUCCACUACAGCUACUAACAUUAUUGAUUAUGUGUUAUUUCUAGAGAGUUAAACCCUUAGGGCAAAAACAAAAACAAACAAACAAACAAAAACCAAACCAAA